rnacentral:rRNA from 1 species
ACACAUGCAAGUCGAACGGGGAUUAUUUCAUUGAAGCUUCGGCAGAUUUGGCUUAAUCCUAGUGGCGGACGGGUGAGUAACGCGUGGGUAACCUGCCUUGUACAGGGGGAUAACAGUCAGAAAUGACUGCUAAUACCGCAUAAGCGCACAGGACCGCAUGGUCCGGUGUGAAAAACUCCGGUGGUAUAAGAUGGACCCGCGUUGGAUUAGCUAGUUGGCAGGGUAACGGCCUACCAAGGCAACGAUCCAUAGCCGGCCUGAGAGGGUGAACGGCCACAUUGGGACUGAGACACGGCCCAGACUCCUACGGGAGGCAGCAGUGGGGAAUAUUGCACAAUGGGGGAAACCCUGAUGCAGCGACGCCGCGUGAAGGAAGAAGUAUCUCGGUAUGUAAACUUCUAUCAGCAGGG